AGUGAACGCUGGCGGUAGGCCUAACACAUGCAAGUCGAACGGCAGCACAGGAGAGCUUGCUCUCUGGGUGGCGAGUGGCGGACGGGUGAGGAAUACAUCGGAAUCUACUUUUUCGUGGGGGAGAACGUAGGGAAACUUACGCUAAUACCGCAUACGACCUACGGGUGAAAGCAGGGGAUCUUCGGACCUUGCGCGAUUGAAUGAGCCGAUGUCGGAUUAGCUAGUUGGCGGGGUAAAGGCCCACCAAGGCGACGAUCCGUAGCUGGUCUGAGAGGAUGAUCAGCCACACUGGAACUGAAACACGGUCCAGACUCCUACGGGAGGCAGCAGUGGGGAAUAUUGGACAAUGGGCGCAAGCCUGAUCCAGCCAUACCGCGUGGGUGAAGAAGGCCUUCGGGUUGUAAAGCCCUUUUGUUGGGAAAGAAAUCCAGCUGGUUAAUACCCGGUUGGGAUGACGGUACCCAAAGAAUAAGCACCGGCUAACUUCGUGCCAGCAGCCGCCGUAA
rnacentral:rRNA from 1 species